AACUUGCAGUCUUACCGCACUUUAGGUGGUGCUCACUGUUUGAGGAGCCUCCCUCCCUUCCCACAGCCCUUCCGACAAGGACAAAGGAAAAUCAGCAGUCAGCAACACCUGGGAACUUGUUAGAUAUGCAAAAUCUCGGAAUUCAUCCCAGACCUGCUGAAUCAGAAAAUUUGCUGAACCCCACCCCCAAUCUCUUUUAAAAGCCCUUCAGAUGAUUCUGAGGAACGCUGCAACUUUGAAUGAGCUGCAGGCAAGGGUGGACCACCACCAAUGGCCUCACCUAUGCCAGCUAAAACUUUUCACCGGAUGCCGAUGUGGAUUUGCCAUCAUUGAACCUAGCAGACCCAUGAUGCAAACUUGGGUGUUCACGGAAGAUUGCAACGUCUUACUUGAGAAAGGACUCAAUGUAAAGCCUGUGUCGGGAGGAGUGGGGAUGAUGUGUUCCAGAACUCAAAUCCAGCCUGAUUGAGUCCUCUCAGUGCAGUGGGAUACACAAUACCCCUUUACCAUCUCCCCACCCCACGAGGAAGCAUGAACUUGGCUGGGAUGAUUUCAUAAGUGCAGCUGAUCCCGUGUCAGAGUUCUGUGUGCAUGUGGAGGACCCACAAGAGGAGAGUAGAGGUGUUCUCCAGGAUAACCAGCUUUAGGUUCUCAGGCAUAAAGGGUAAUACUGGAGAGGCGCUUGGCAUAAAGGGCAAAUCUCCUCAAAAAGUGAAGCCAACUCGGUCUCCUCUUCAGCAGUCCAGGGUACAGAAUGUGUCCAGUCUCUCUCCUCCCCAGACUGGAGGAAAAUAUGUACAUCAAUGCGCACCAGUGAUCCGAAAACCCCCAAGAACCCAGGCAGGUGGGCACUGAGGGGGCCGGCUCCUCAUCAGCUGGGGAAAGGGGAAAAUGGGCCUCACAGAAGCCAUAAAAGGGUGGAAGGAGCAA